CAUAUCUUAUGCAAACUCUGGGGCCACUGAACCGGAAUCUUGUAUCCAUUCGGGGGUGGGAUCAAGCAGAAAGGGGUCUCAACUAGAAGCGGACAGUGACGCUCUCGAUAGAAAUUCAUUUCUCUACUGAGCUGGCGAUUGCGCCUGGGAUCCUCACAAGGCAUAUGAUCAACAGAGUCAGCAGAGCACGCCUCAAUUGGCUGAGGAUGGUGGCCGGCCUCAAUAAGCUCGACAAGGCGGAGGCGCUGACGCGGAUCCGACGUGGAGAGGAGGAGAGCCUGGCGACCAGAGGUGGCGAGAGAGUCACCGAGAGGAGUGAAUACGAGAAGGAAGAAAAGAAAGACUAAGGCGAAGAAUGCAGCAGAUACGAGGUCGAGUAGUUUCCAUUGUCUAGGGUUUCGCUUUGAUACGGGGAGAUUAAGGUGCCCCAUUGGAUGCUAAUGGUUUUGGAUCUGAUCAAAAAAUCAUUUGAAAUGAAGCAUUAGUUAGAAGCAAAUGGGAAAUCUUAAAGUGACGAAGUUAGAAGCUUGGACGGAGACGGAGAUUAUUGAAGUGGGAAUUUCAGUUGAAGAUCAUGGGACUUGGUAGGAAGACGAGCGUUGCUCGGUCGCAAGUGAGGAAGAUAGCAGUAGUAGAGAACUAGAUGCACGCAUCAGUGAUGGAUUUGAGGGUGAAUGUAUGGAAUUGUGGCAAAGCGAGGAACGGCUGUCUCAGCGGAUAGGGGAUCAAGACAGGCAAAUAAAAU
rnacentral:misc_RNA from 1 species